UACAGAGGUCUCAAGCGUUGUUCGGAUUCAUUGGGCGUAAAGGGUGCGUAGGUGGCAUGGUAAGUCGGAUGUGAAAUCCCGGGGCUCAACCCCGGAACUGCAUUCGAUACUGCCGUGCUUGAGGACUGGAGAGGAGACUGGAAUUUACGGUGUAGCGGUGAAAUGCGUAGAUAUCGUAAGGAAGACCAGUGGCGAAGGCGGGUCUCUGGACAGUUCCUGACACUGAGGCGCGAAAGCCAGGGGAGCAAACGGG
rnacentral:rRNA from 1 species